ACUUUCCCCGCAGCAGGCGUGUGCUGCUGUUACUGGUCUUUGCCACUUUGAUUGAGACAGACGGACUGGGGAUUUCUCCAUCACUGUUGCACAUAAGAAGAGUGGUGAUAGGAAGAGUGGACACAGCAGUGUUCAUACCAGGCACUGUCCUGGAGCCAGUGAUGCCAGAGGGAGCAAGCCUCCUACCCUACAAAACUCAUCUCCUGUGACCUUCUAGCCUGAGUCAAGCUGGGAUCGUCAUUGCUCUGUGUGGGCAAGGUUACAUCACAGCUUGGCAGGAGAUGGAAGAAGAGAAGACGGCAGCAAUAAAGCAAUUUCUACUGGUUAAAUAGCUUCCUGCCACUGCCUAGAUCUCUGCUGCUAUCAGAAUGAGUUGUGAAAGUUCUUAUGAGGAGGAGGAAAUGGUUACUGCAGGAGACUCAUCACUGAUGAAACUGGAAUAGGUUACUCUUUCUGUAAUGGGGGUACUAUUUCUGUAGUAUGGUAGCCCAAUGCUCACUCACUCAAUAAAGGACUAUACAAAUACCA
rnacentral:lncRNA from 1 species